UCCAUAUCGGAGCCGGUUCUAGUCCUGGCUGCUCCUCUUCUGAUCCAGCUCUCUGCUAUGGCCUGGGAAAGCCGUAGAAGAUGGCCCAAGUCCUUGGGCCUCUGCAUCCACGUGGGAGACUGGGAAGAAGCUCCUGGCUCCUGGCUUUGGGUUGGCGCAGCUCUGGCCGUUGUGGCCAUCUGGGGAGUGAACCAGUGGAUGGAAGACCUCUCUCUGUCUCUACCUCUCUCUGUAACUGUGUCUUUCAAAUAAAUAAAAUUAAAAAAAAUCUUAAGAAAACAUGUUGAUUAUGUUCUCAUAUUAAAAUAGAAAUAUUUUAGAUUUGUUGGAUUAUAUAAAGCAUACUAUUCGUGUGCAUCCUUUCACCUUAUGAAAUGUGCCUGGCUGGAAAGUUUGAAUUUUAAAUUACACGGUAGCUUAUACUACAUUGCUACUGAGUAGCACUGCCAUUAGAAUACAGGGUAGUCCUGUCUCUCUCUCCAGCCCAAUUUCCGUCCUUCCAUUGAUGCAUCCUUAGAAUGAACACUGAAAAUUCGGAGCCUGAAUGCAAGCCUCUGUACUGUGCCUGGUCCCAAGAGAAUUCUCUGCCGCUUCUCCUUGGUCUGUCUGACUUUCCAAGUUCUACUAUAAGAGAAAGCAGAAUAUGCUUUCUAUGACUGGCCAUGGUUGGAGUGUGUUCUGUUGAUGCUCAUAGGCUGGGACCUCGAUCUCCCAUUGAACGUGUUGAGAUGGUGGAAACCUUAAGAGCUGGGCUGUAAUGCAAGGUACUACAAAUACUAAGGUAUUUUCCAUGGAAAAUAACUUAGGUCAUCCUAAGGGAUUAAAGUGAGGCCGCCUAUGCAAAUGGCAGCCCCUUCUAUGCUCAGCUGCUUCCUUUUAGAUUCUCUAUCAUGCUAUGAAUCAGCUGAGGGGAGCUUCACCAGAGGCUGAGCAGACUGGGCUGCCUGGUCUUGCACUUUCUGCUUCCAAAUGAUGAGCUAAUUAAAUGCCUACUUUCUUUUACCUAUUUAUUCAUUUAUUACAGAGAGAGAGAGAGGUGGGUGGAUACACAAAGAUCCAUCUUCCAUAGACAAAUGCCUUCAACAGCUGGGGUUAGACUGGCCAUAGUCAGGAGCCCAGAAUCAAUCUUUCAGGUUUCCUGUGUGGGUGACAGGGACCCAAGUACUUGAGCCAUCGUCUUCUGCCUCCCAGAGUGGGAAUUAGCAGGAAGUUGGAAUGGGGAACAGAAGUGGCACUCAAACCCAGGCACUCUGAUAAGGGAUGUGAGUGUCUUAAGUAGGGUCUUAUUUGCUACAUUAAUGCCCAGCCCACUUCCCUCUCCUUUAAAGAACCCUGCAGGGGCCAGUGCCAUGGCUCACUUGGUUAAUUCUCUGCCUGCGGUGCAGGCAUCCUAUAUGGGUGCCGGGUUCUAGUCUCAGUUGCACCUCUUCCAGUCCAGCUCUCUGCUGUGGCCCGGGAGGGCAGUGGAGGAUAGCCCAGGUGCUUGGGCCCCUGCACCCACAUGGGAGACCAGGAAGAAGCACCUGGCUCCUGGCUUCAGAUCGGUGCAGCGCCCGCUGUAGCGGCCUUUUGGGGAGUGAAUCAACGGAAGGAAGACCUUUCUCUCUGUCUCUCUCUCACUGUCUAUAACUCUGUCAAAUAAAAAAAAAAUUUAAAAAAUUAAAAGAACCCUGCAUCAGGUGUUUUGACACCGCAACACAAAAACAGACUAAUACAAUGCUAAAAUAGAAACCCUUGCUUUUAUUGCAGUAAAAUACAAUGAGCAAAUAUUCUGUGCAUAUAAGUGAUGCAUUUGGAAGGAGGCGUCUGCAGUCACUGAGCAACACUUCUCGGACACAAAAUAUCCCAAGAGGCCUCGGAGGCACAUUUAGGAUUGACAGUCCUGGAGAGUGCACGUGGGGCCUGGGGUGGCUGAUGUCCUGCUUAAGUAGUCUCUAGCCUUGAAGAACAUUCAGAAGGUCAUGGAUGGGUGGCUCCAGAGCACUUGUUUCAGAGGGAAGGCACAGUUGUGCUAAAGGCUUUGGACAAUCAGUAGUCACUUUCCAUGGGAAAUAACUGUUGCAUGGGUAGACAUCCACUCAGGACUCAGGGUCAGAGUGUGCUAGCACAGCACAGCUGAGGUCAAGUUCCUGAGACCCAAAGGCUGGGACACACAGCCUGUGAGGAAGGAGAACUUUGCAAACCUCUUAGUAAGCCUAGCUGUGAGUGGCAGCCUCAAGCAUUGCCUUGACACCAUUUGGGAUGCUCAUAUCUGGCAUGUGUAUUCCCCUUGUAACAUUUAAGCUUAUUGCAUGUUGACUGCUCUGAUGCAGACAAAAAUCUCAGCUUUAGUUUCAAAUAUCUUAGGUGCAAAUGUCGAAUUGGAGGAACAAUCACCAUGACCUUGACAAAGGCCAACACUGCCUUUGCCAGCUGCUGACAAGGACUUCUUCUUCAAGCUUAUGUCCUAAUGGGAGUCAUUUGCACAUGAAAGUCAACUCAGGUUUCCUGCUGGAAAUUUGAAAAUUUUAAUUGAAAGUGCGAUUCAGACUUGACAUUUAAUAUUUUGUCUAAUGCUUUGUGUCAUUACAUCAUGUUAUGAAAAUGAAACCCAAGGUUGGAAUUGUGGUGCAAUGGUUAUGCCAUGGCCUGCAAUGUAGGCUUCCCAGAUGAGCAGUGGUUUAAGUGCUGGCUGCUCCACUUCCAAUCCAGCUCCCUGCCAAUGUGCCUGGGAAAGCAGUAGAAAAUGGCCCAAGCGCUUGGUUCCUGCUGUCCACAUGGGGGACCUGGAUGGAGUUUCUGGCAUUUAGCUUCAGCCUGCCCCAGGCCUGGCUGUUAUAAACAUUUGGGGAGUGAACCAGCAGAUGAAAGAUCUCAUUUUCUCUGUCUCAUUGUAACUCUGCCUUUCAAAUAAAGAAGUAAAAAACUUUUCUAAAAAAGGAAAAUAUAAUGCUUUUUUUCCCAGUUUUAUAGACAGUCUUAAAUCCUCUGGUUUCAUCCAAGCUAGACAAUAUAAUUUCUGGGUAUGCUAUGUCCAAAACAGCACAAGGAAGCCUAGUAACAGCAUAUUGGCUACUUACGUUUCUUUUCUAGUAUCAGCUCUUGGUAAUUUAUGGAUCCAUGUUGUUCCUCUCACUCUACUUACUCAUAAGUUAAAGUGUCUUUAUCUUCUGAGAAAUUAUAAACAAUGAAAGAGGCUUUAAGGACUAACCUGCACAAUAUAAUGAACUACCCAUGCAUCUAUAAAUUAUCAGCAUUUAGAAGUGACAUAUGAUGCAAAACUAUCUAGAAUUAUCUAUUAAAUGCUCUCCCAGGAGCCUGGCCCUUGGAUCUAUGGGGGCCACUAUUGUAGACACUUACUUUUCUCUAUUACAGAGAUGUCUCCAGAGGUCUCUGAUUUGUCUAUCCAGUUUCAUGCUUGCCUCAUGCCUUCCCCUUGUAAUCUGAUUAGAGAGAGUCUCCAGAUGCUGUUCUCAAAUGCCUUAAAAGAAAUUUCAGGUGCACACCACGGUAGUGUUGGAUAACCGCCCUGGUCACCAUGAUCCAGUUGCUUUGUGCUCCUUGUUCUUUCUCAACCACUGAUCCAUACCAGCUUCAAUGGUCUGAAGAAAGCAAUAAAUCAGAGUGAGGUCAUUGCAUGCCUUCAGUUCAAGAGAUCAGCUAAAUUUUAUUCUGGACUUGGUAAUGGAUAUUGGAUUUUAUCAUAUGAUUAUUCACUAACAGUAAGAUUAAUGUGCCAUUUUCAUUACUUUAUCUAUUAAUAUAGUGACUUAAGCUGGCGCCGUGGCUCAAUAGGCUAAUCCUCUGCCUUGCGGCGCCGGCACACCGGGUUCUAGUCCCGGUCGGGGCGCCGGAUUCUGUCCCGGUUGCCCCUCUUCCAGGCCAGCUCUCUGCUGUGGCCAGGGAGUGCAGUGGAGGAUGGCCCAAGUGCUUGGGCCCUGCACCCCAUGGGAGACCAGGAUAAACACCUGGCUCCUGCCUUCAGAUCAGCGCAGUGCGCUGGCUGCGGCGGCCAUUGGAGGGUGAACCAAUGGCAAAAAGGAAGACCUUUCUCUCUGUCUCUCUCACUCUCCACUCUGCCUGUCAAAAAUAAAUAAAUAAAUAAAUAAAAAUAAAAAAUCUAUUAAUAUAGUGACUAUUAACAGGCUUUAUAUGGGAGA